rnacentral:tRNA from 1 species
GGCCCGGUAGCUCAGCGGAUAGAGCGGAGGACUUCUAAUCCUAAGGUCGGGGGUUCGACUCCCCCCCGGGCCGCCA